ACUUCAGUGAGGUCCUCCUCGGUGAGGGACGGUGCGGUGGGCUCCAUGGUGGAGGCGGGAGAUGGCGCUUCUUCCGGGUCCGGGAGCUCGGGCUGCGCCGCCCCGCCCUGGCUGGGGGCUUCGGCCUCCGGGUAAUGGGGAAGAAGGAGAGGAGGCGGAGCGGGUCGGGAGAAAGACGGCCGCCCCUUCGGGAACAGAGGGACUCGGGGGUCAAACCGUAGCGCUUCCGGCCCCGCCUCUGAGGUCGACGGCGACGCGAAUCUACGCGACGCGACGCGGAGCUCGGAGCAGCGUUCCUUCCCUCUCGUAGAGGCUCAGGCGCAGGCACCGCCCCACGGCGAGGCGCGUCGCUUAGCAGAGCCCGCCCUGUCUCUGCGGCAGCCUAUCGACGCCAGCCCGCGGGCCGAUCCUGUUCCCGCCCCCGACCGGAGCCUUUCGGGUGGCUCCGCCCACAGCGGGCGUUUCCUCAAGCCACGCCUGCGCAGGUCGUCGCAUCAUUUUCUUUUCCAAAAUUCAAAUCCGAAAAACAAUCGAAGUCAAGCCUUCUUCAUUUAACCUUUCUAAGAGACUGCAGAGUGAGGAUGAGUAAAGAAAUUAUAGAGUUCAUCUUUCAUCUUUUCCAACAUACUUCAGAAGAAGACAAAAACAGCAAAGCCACAUACUCUUAAGAACAAGGCUAGGCUUAACCACAGGCAUCCUGACCUCAAGUCCUGUGUCAAAGUUCCACCUACAAUGUGGCCCCACAGGGCUAAUCCUUGACAGAAACACUGGAAGGAUUUCUUCUCUGCAAAACUACCCUCUUCCUUCACGCUGAAUCAUCAGAAAGAGGAGCCGGCUGCAUCCCUAAAUUCAUCCCUUAUUUUAAUUAACCCAAGGAUGACAUGGAGGCCUUGGAGACCCUAUACAGUGCUGUGUGUUCAGCAGUAAAUAUCCACCCAUUGUAGUCAGGAGCCAGCAUCUUCAUCAUCCUUUCUUGUUAGAACAAACUUGUCCAACCCAUGGCCCAUGGGCCACAUGUGGCCUAGGACGGCUUUGAAUGCGGCCCAACACAAAUUUGUAAAGUUUCUUAAAACAUUAGGAGAUUUUUU
rnacentral:lncRNA from 1 species